CAUUUCCCUUUCUCCGGAGCUCUUCUGGCUCAUACCAAUGAUGCACCAAGAGAAGGGGGGCCCAAAGUAAUUUUCCUCCCCCCUUCUCUUGGUGCGUCAUCGGUUCAAGCCAGGAGGAUGCUGGAAAAGGGGACAUGGCUGCAGAAUAUCACCAGUGCAUCACAUUCUUGACCUAAGGAACUGAUCCACUAAAAAAAAUUACCUUAAGCCCAGGGAAUCACUUUGAGUGAUGGUCUCUGGUAUAAUCAAGUACAGUUAUUCAGGAUGCCUCAAAUAGCCCCUCAUGAACUGAAGACAUGGUGUAAGGAAGAUAAGAUCUCCAUCCGCUGAAAAAGUUCCUUGGAAGAUAAGAUCUAGAGAAGUUUUAUUUUUGGAGUAGAAAUGCUAGAGCUACUGACUAUGCUUGCUGGAAUGUUCUGGAAGUCAUGACUCAAAGAUGUGUAAGGCUGACUGCCAGAAGAGAGCAGAAGGAAGGGAUGAACAAGAUGGGAAGAGAGAACAACAUGAAAAGAAGACGGUUUCCUCUGCUUUUCACCAUUUUCCCCAGCUCCGUCUGAUGAAGUCCUUAGAAAUCUCUACCCAGGGUGAAGUUCGUACAGAAAUGGGACUGGUGUGGAAAUAGUUACUGCUCAUCACUGCCUUCACAAUAAUUGUGUCCACCACAGCGUUCUGAUUUAAUUCUCAUUGUUUAAAUUGCUGCAUAUCUAUUUUGGGAUCAUCAAAUGACAACCAGAUUCAGAAGAUGCCAUUACCUACUAACAAAGUCCCACAAAUGAAGCAAGGGAACAAACAUAUUAUUGCAUUGCUGAGGGUUUCAGAAAAACUAGAGAUAGUCUUGAUCUGGUCAAUGAAAUAGAUAAAUUACCUUUGUGUCUCCCCUUCAAAAAUGUAUUCACAGAUAUUCUUUUACUGAGGCAUUUACACAGCUGAAUCUUUAAAAGGCUGGCAUCAGAAGCAACUGCUUAAUUUGCCCCUCAGAUUAGGUUAGCCCUGUAGGCACCAGAUUUCUUCAGUACUUGCACAUUUCAUGACUGAGUCAGAGAACAUCUUUGUAGCAUUUGGGAACCUACACCCAGUUGGUAAAGGCAGGGCAGGAAGCCAGCCUAAGCCAUUAAAAAUGCCUUGAAUGAAAUGGUGUUUUAAUACAUUAUUAAGAAAUGAUCAGAGCAGUCAUUGCAGGGAGGAAAAAAGAAGACAUAUAAAAGGUUCUUAUCAGAGAAUAAACCAGUCAAGCUGAACAUAGAGGGCUGCAUAUGUGAUUGCUUUCCAGCUAAGCAGAUCAGCCAAGGAAGUCCUCUACCGACACAUACAGCUCAAAAUGUCAAGCUGAUUGCUAGAGCUUUCAUGUCAAUUUACAUAAAUUAUCCAUAAAGCUCUCAUAUUUUAUUUCUAAAAAUUAUGUUUGCCAGUAUUCAUAAUCUAAUUAAGUGAGAAUAUAGUAGUGGUUACAGUUGAUUGCAUCUUUUGAAAAUGUAGUCUAUCAAUUCUACAUGACAAUGAGAGACAGUAAUUCCAGUCAAUUCCACAUUUUUCUCUCUAAUCCUUGUUCAGCAGAUAUAAGCAAAGCAGUCACUGUUCUCAUCAUCUUGCAAAGGUGGACUGAAAACCCCAGAUAAUGUAACAUUGCCCACUUUCUCUAUUUCUAACAGUUGCUAUAACUAUUGACUGUUCGUGAAUUGCAUAAACUAUUCAGCCUCUUGGAAGCCGAGGAAAACAAUAACCCACAGAAUCAAAACCUAAUGCUCUCAUUCACUUAUUAGCUUUAAUGAGCCGUAAGGAAUUUCAUCACUUAAAGAACAAUUCCUUCACUUCUGAAGGGGAAUCAGAAACUUCUUGCUUAUGGGUUGUUAGAUGUUGUGGGCCACCAUCUCUGUAUGAAGAGAGGAAGGUCUCAAAGUGAAAAGUGUCCUACCCCCAGAUCCCUUUUUUAUUAUACCUAAAUAAAGUUCUGCGUCUGUUCUGAA